UAGCCAUGGGUAUUGCUGGUGUUAUAUUUGGCUAAAAUCUUACCACCAAUCUCAGCUUCUGGCAUGGAAGGAAAGAACCUCUUUCCCAAGCAGCACAGAAAGGAUACAGAGCUACAAACCUGAAGGCAAGAUCCAACCCUUGCAACCUUUGUGUGAGGUGAAGAAAAUGAAGGAAGUGAAUAAACUGCCCACCUGCUAAAAUUUAUGCUGAAAACUGCCCCCAGGAGAACUGCCAAGGAAUUCAGCCUCAUAUUGCCUGGGGAAUGCAAGACCUCUGUAGCUCUUCAAACUCUGCUCCCAUCCUUGCCCUUCUGCCCAGGAAAUGCCAUUUGCUGCACACGCCCAGUUACUGUGACAACUUUGAAGAAAGGGAGGAUAAGUCCAGUCCCAGCUCUAUCUUCACGACAAGCUUUGAUAGCCUCUUGUUGAAAUGAAUACCACAAUGAAAAUGAUAGUGACUGGUGGCACUCAGAAUUUGCAAGUAAAGCUCUCCAAAUGAGAAUUUUGGAUCCUCAUUUCCAACCAACAGCAAGGAUUUACAUACUUAAGUUCUUUCCUGGAAGCCACAAGACAACGUUUCCAAAAGCUGAAAGAAGUGCCCCAUGGAAAAUUCAGAAUCAGCUGAAGACAUAAUUUUAUUCCAUAAAUGCUUUUGAAAACAUGAAUAUUCUGUUCAUUAGUAAAUGAAAUGUAAUAAUUUUAGAAAAUUUAAGAUGUAGUAAAAUUUGCAUGAAAUGGAGUGAGAGGAAAAAAGUUCUACAAAUACAGUCCCAAAAGCGAAAGCAUCAUGAGAGAACAUCUACAUGUCCAAGUUAAUUCACUGUUUGGAGUGUUUUUAUUCUUGGUUUCACUUCAAACAGAAACAUUAAAAUGAUAAGUAAGGAAGCAACAGAGAAAUCUUAAUUGUUAUUUUUGUGAGUUACUGGGAGACAAGAUACUGCUUAGAGAAAAAGGAGCCUCCUGAAGUGUUCAAAAAGACAAGAACAUUGUAUAUGCUAUAAAAUGAGAUUAUAAAGUGGAAUAAAAAUUUUAGGAAGCAUAAAAUGAGAGGCAUGAAACGGAGAGAUAUUUUUAUAUAUUUCUGAUAUUUCUAGAGAAAAAACCAUUCAGGGCAGGGGAUGUAUUGCAAUACAUUGCAACUGAUUUGAUUGCAUAUCUGCUUAUGCCUAUGCUUAUGUUCAGACUCGCAAAACCAAGUGCAUCUUGCAUGUUUGUGAACAGGCUGGGGCAAUUUUGUUUACACUGAUGUAGUAGCAACUGUGGUCAUUCUGCAGUUGGGUUUUCUGAAUGCAGCUUCAGUUUGGAAGGGGAAGGAGGGAAUGCAGCAGGGUGAAUGGAGCCUUGCAAACAAGCUGUUACUGGAAUUGAUUUGUGUUGCAUUACAGGGCUAUUCAUGACUCCUGUGCAAUUUCUCUGCACAUGAUGUAGUUUUUGUCUACAAAUAUAGCUUUGAGUAUGCCUA